GAUGAAGAACGCAGCGAAAUGCGAUAAGUAAUGUGAAUUGCAGAAUUCAGUGAAUCAUCGAAUCUUUGAACGCACAUUGCGCCCAUUAGUAUUUUAGUGGGCAUGCCUGUUCGAGCGUCAUUAAGUCCACUUAAGCCCUGCUUAGUGUUGGGAGACUGCUCCAGCGGUGCUACCCUGUAGCUACCCUGCAGCUCCUCAAAGACAGCGGCGGAGUUGUGGUAUCCUCUGAGCUUAGUAACUUGUUCUAGCUUUCGAGUACACCACUUCCCCUGCCGUAAAACCCUUAAUUUUUAAUGGUUGACCUCGGAUCAGGUAGGAAUACCCGCUGAACUUAAGCAUAUCAAUAAGCGGAGGA
rnacentral:misc_RNA from 1 species